CGGUUUGUAGCUCAAUUGGAUAGAGCACCUGACUACGAAUCAGGAGGUUUGAGGUUCGAGUCCUCACUAACCGA
rnacentral:tRNA from 1 species